rnacentral:tRNA from 1 species
AAGCUCGUAACUCAGUGGAAUAGAGUACAUAUUUCCGGAAUAUGAAGACGUAGGUUUGAAUCCUACCGAGCUUG